GUAUGUGGAUGGUAUUCAGCGCCAUGGACAGGUAUGUUUACCUGUGUGUAGAUGGUGUUUAGCACCAUGGACAGGUCUGUUUGCAU
rnacentral:pre_miRNA from 1 species